CUCAGCUCAGCAGUUCUGGGCUCUACCCUCUCAGCUCCUUCCCUGAACUGCUUCGUGGUCUCCACCCACCCCCACAACCCACCGCUUUCUCUGGUAGUACCAGCAGCACCAAACCAACUCCUUCUUCUCAGGGCCAGGGAGAGACUGCAGCUACAGAGAGGGCUGUGCUGAGUGGCCAGCUGAAGUGCUGCCGCGGCGCAGCUGCAGCGGUUCCAUGUAGAGAUCGGUGAGGCCGGACUUGACUCCGGUGUGACUUGAGGGGCUCAGAAUUCGCUCUGUUUUCCUUCAGAUGUGACGGCGAAUAAGGAAAUAAACCCUGUUACCUGAUCACAGAUCCUGGGUUGUCUGUAACCCUGGGACUGGCAUAAGGAAUCCAGUCUCACAUGGAUCAUGAGUAUGAUUGAAAUCCCGAGUCUUCAGAUCCACAGCCAAGACCUGUUCUGCUUAACAGUUCCUCCUUCUAUUGGUGUUGUCCUGGAAAUGAGCUGCUAUGUCCCUGCUACCUCUAUUUUACAGCUGUUGUGGCCUCCCAAGAGAUG